UCUCACUCUAAUUGAUCCGCUUUUCCACCUUCGUUUGUUAUCUCCUCUUUCUCUUUUUGUUUUUCGCUUUCAAUCUCCAUUGAAGCUUUGCAAGGAAGAACUUGCCCACCAAAGUCGCACGAAAGUCUACUUUAGCCACGAGCAGAGUAAAGAAGCAAGCCCCAUCGUUUCAGACCUAUAAUUGUCGCAAUUUGUGAGAUCGAAAGUAAUAGAGCUUUGCUUUUAGAAUCCGUCGUCGUCACCCUCUAGAUCAGGGAGGCCGCUGAAGCUUACUGGUUUGCCUUUUCAAACAUACCAACCUUUGCGUAAUUUGUGAAAGAUCGGCUCGUAGUCUGGGAUUAUGAUAAUGUAUACAAGAAAAGAGUUUAUACAAAUAUUCACUCUUGCUUGCUCAACACUAUGAGGUUAAUCUUAAUGUAUUAGCUGCCUCGGUGUAGACACUUCCUCUGGUACAGUGGCCUUCGAUAAUAUGACUCUUUCACCAAGACCCUUGUGCUCAUUCAUUUGAAAAUGUUGACGAAAUUAGAGAUCUGUGGGGCUAAAUUCUCUUAUACAUGUAAAUUAUUGUUCGUAUAUACUUGUAAAUGUAACUACUAGUAAAUUCAAUAAUUAUAUAAGUUUAUGUAAAUUUAUCUAA